CACGUAGGGUGCGAGCGUUGUCCGGAAUUAUUGGGCGUAAAGAGCUCGUAGGCGGUGUGUCGCGUCGGCCGUGAAAACUUGGGGCUUAACUCUGAGCGUGCGGUCGAUACGGGCAUCACUUGAGUUCGGCAGGGGAGACUGGAAUUCCUGGUGUAGCGGUGAAAUGCGCAGAUAUCAGGAGGAACACCGGUGGCGAAGGCGGGUCUCUGGGCCGAUACUGACGCUGAGGA
rnacentral:rRNA from 1 species